UGGGGAAUAUUGCACAAUGGGCGCAAGCCUGAUGCAGCGACGCCGCGUGAGGGAUGACGGCCUUCGGGUUGUAAACCUCUUUCACCAGGGACGAAGCGCAAGUGACGGUACCUGGAGAAGAAGCACCGGCCAACUACGUGCCGGCAGCCGCGGUAAUACGUAGGGUGCGAGCGUUGUCCGGAAUUACUGGGCGUAAAGAGCUCGUAGGUGGUUUGUCGCGUUGUUCGUGAAAACUCACAACUCAAUUGUGGGCGUGCGGGCGAUACGGGCAGACUAGAGUACUGCAGGGGAGACUGGAAUUCCUGGUGUAGCGGUGGAAUGCGCAGAUAUCAGGAGGAACACCGGUGGCGAAGGCGGGUCUCUGGGCAGUAACUGACGCUGAGGAGCGAAAGCGUGGGGAGCGAACAGGAUUAGAUACCCUGGUAGUCCACGCCGUAAACGGUGGGUACUAGGUGUGGGUUCCUUCCUUGGGAUCCGUGCCGUAGCUAACGCAUUAAGUACCCCGCCUGGGGAGUACGGCCGCAAGGCUAAAACUCAAAUGAAUUGACGGGG
rnacentral:rRNA from 1 species